rnacentral:rRNA from 1 species
UACGGGGGGGGCAAGCGUUGUUCGGAAUUACUGGGCGUAAAGGGCGCGUAGGCGGCCUUCUAAGUCAGACGUGAAAUCCCUCGGCUCAACCGAGGAACUGCGUCUGAUACUGGAAGGCUUGAAUCCGGGAGAGGGAUGUGGAAUUCCAGGUGUAGCGGUGAAAUGCGUAGAUAUCUGGAGGAACACCAGUAGCGAAGGCGGCACUCUGGGCCUGUACUGACGCUGAUGCGCGAAAGCGUGGGGAGCGAACAGG